UACGUAGGGGGCUAGCGUUGUCCGGAUUUAUUGGGCGUAAAGAGCGUGUAGGCGGCCAGAUAGGUCUGCUGUGAAAACUCGAGGCUCAACCUCGAGAUGUCGGCGGAAACCAUCUGGCUAGAGUCCGGAAGAGGAGAGUGGAAUUCCUGGUGUAGCGGUGAAAUGCGCAGAUAUCAGGAAGAACCCCCGUGGCGAAGGCGGCUCUCUGGGACGGUACUGACGCUGAGACGCGAAAGCGUGGGGAGCGAACAGG
rnacentral:rRNA from 1 species